rnacentral:lncRNA from 1 species
ACUGUUUUGUUCCAGAAACCUAACAGUUGUGCUUCUGGGCAUUGCUCUUGCUGAAUGUAUCAAAAUGUUUUGUAACUGUUUGAACUUUGUGACCUCUCAGGAAUGUUCUGUAACUCUACCCACCCCCUCCUUCAGUGAGCAUGCUCACCUACCAAAUAGACCCUUAUAUAAGGAGGCUCCCGUUUGUAGUCAAGCACUCAGACUUUGGAGUAUGAACUCCACUGAGCCCACUGUCGUAAUAAAGGUUUUUCUCCACCUCUUCAAGUGACCAUCAGAUGCUCGAGUCUUCAAAUUGCAAUAGCUGUGAUGCUGAGCUGUGACACUCUGCUGUAACACUGAGCUCUAACACUUGGCUGUGCCUCAGAGCUGUAACACUUGGCUAUAGCACUGAGCUGUUCUGCUUUGCCACAACACCCAGAGCACUGGGAUUACAGGUGUAGCCCACAUUAGCUCAGAGGGAAUGUUGUAUAUUUUUGGGGGGUACCAGGGUUUGAACUCAGGACCUUGUGCUUGUGAGGCAGGCGGUGGAACCACUGAGCUAAAUCCCCAGCCUGGGAAUGUUGUAUUAAAUCAUCACUGCCAGACCAUCAGUUUUCUCUCUGAAGAUACACACCAGGUCAUGGAGCAGAAGCGGUAAACUCACAGAGGUGCUGAAUGACCAACAAGUGACAAGAACCUGUUGAUGUGAGUAUGUCCGGAAUCUUCCGAUCAGCACCUGUCUGGGUUGCUAUGUAUGUAUCCACGUUGACAGUUCAUGUACUGCAGUGUAUUUAUCACCUCCCUUUCGAAUUGAACUGAGAACUCUAAGCGCCUGAUUUAAACCAUCAGCUGGAGAGCUUGCUGAGGCAGGCACAGCUGAAAGGCUUGGGCUCUGUGGUUGCCGAGCAAGACCUGAGCAGUCAGUCGCCCCUUGAACUGUAGGGCUCUGCACCUUGCUUCCCUAUGCUCACCACUUGUGGUAUUUGGAACUGGAUAGAGCCAGAAAUUCCAAAAAGAAGCCACCUCAGCAAAAUCAACAAUCUGUUUUUCCUUGAAAAUUCAAAGACGCACUAGACAAAUGAGUCCCUCUGAAAAGCUGUCCUUUUGUAAAGGAAAAUGAUAUCUACAAAGAAAAAUGAUCACCAGACAAGGUACCGGGAAGAGAGGCUUCAGACAACUUCUACAGCCUGAAAGCCUUUCAUCUACAAAAAGCAAACUGCUUUAUCCACCGUCCAUUUCCUUCUCUCCCUCUUAUAAUUUGUCUCCAUCUGCCCCAGAAGCCCGGUGCUCUUCCUGCCCUCAGGAUGCUCUAUAAACCUCGGUCAUGGGACCUUUCUGUGUGUCUCAUACUUUGGUGGGAUUUCCAUGUGUGAGAAAGCAGUUACAAUGGUUUCUCUCCUAUGUCAGUUUAAACUGUAGCCAAAGACGCCAGGAGGGCAGAGAGAAGCCAAGGGUCCCUCUCCCCAAAGGCAAGGCGAUGGGGUGGGAACUUGGAGGGGCCAGAGGAAGGGCAGAGAACCUAGUGGGAGACACUGACCCCUGGCCCCAGACAGAGCCAAGCCUCCGAGGGACGAAGGCCACCUCCCGGUUUCCUGUGCAAGGUGCUAACUACAUGGGGAAGGUCACCACUUACCGGUCUGUGGGAGAGAAUCUAGGUCCGCAAGUUUGGUCUGGGUGAGGACGGGGAACUUGGACCACAGCAGAGUACAGCGAUGUACUGUAGCUGGCCCGGCCAUUGUACUUCUGUCUCCUAGAAGCCUAUAGCCACCUGAAGGAAGGUGAAGUGCUCUGUGGCUGCACAGCAUGAGCACCACUUCCUCUGAGACCCCAGUCAGGAGAGAGGUUCCACACAUCCCUGGGGGGAGCUCUUCCUGGAGCUGGGCAGAAAGGACAACAAACACGUUUCCACCAAGUAUCCAACGCCAUCAUAACCCCCUGACCACAUGGCCACAGGCGGCAAGUGUAGGCCACUCAGGAGCAUGGGGAGGACAGUGUGAGGGUUCCCAUGACCUCAGCCUGAUGCUGUCCACACUGGAGAAACAGCUCCCUCCGCUAAGUGAGCCCAGGCACCUGCUUUCUGGUACUGGAGGAACAGCUCUGGAGGCAUGCAAGGGAACAUGCUUCCAGAGCAGAUCUGCCGCUGGGCAUCUGACUGUCCCUGAACUACAGGGAGUCCAGAGGAACAGUGACGGUGAGGACAAGAACGAGGGGUCAGCAGCAGCUCCACUCCUGUUGUUCUUCACAGUUUACAGCUGGAGGGCACUCUUGGGCAUCCCCCUCCCUGCUGUGGCAUCUCCAACUCCUGCUUUUUCUCUUGUGAAAGUGGAGGCCGUUCUUGGCAAGUCUCUUUCUUUCUAGCUGAUAUUCUAGAGUCAACUUUGACGAUGCCUCUUCCUUCUCUUGCUUCAGCAAGCACAUUGUCUGCUUCCCCAUUGACAAAUCUCCAUCCGGCUCCUUCCCCCCUGCUGUGCCCACUAAACACACCAGGUUAGGAGUGAAGGGUGCAAGGAAAUGUGAGAUUCAGUCCCUGUGAUCAGGAUGUCACUGUGAGCUAACCAAUAUGUCAGGAUGGAAGGACCUCCACUAUUUUGGUAAAAUAGACUCAGUGUGUUGGUUGGAAAGUUUCGUUUCGGCUUGAUUUGAUUUGAUUUUUCCAUGAUCAACACUUUGAUGAGAUACUGCUCUUCUCAAACCUUUCUUUAACCACCAAAGACUCCCCCAAAAUCUCUGAUGUACACUUACAUACAAUAUCUUAGGUGCCCGGCUAAGGGCUUCAUAACAACGGGCUCCUGGGCUGAGGUGUAGCUCAGUGGUAGAGCACUUGCAGAGCGUGUAUGAGGCCUUGAGUUUGAUCUGUAGACACACACACACACACACAAAUAAUAAUAGUUCUUAUGAUAAAUACAGCUGAUAAAAUUUCCAGAAUGUUCUAAAUUUAAUCGCAAAGACCACAGGGUGGUAGUGGGUUAGUCAGCUAACAGCUGCUGGCAAAACCAACAAGAAGACUGCUUAUGUUUGAAUGGGAUUUAUGAUUUAAACACCAGGGCUUUAUUGCUGUACACAUAAACUCUCUGGACCAUUGAUACCAACCAAUCCAAGAGCAACAAGAAGAACUACUUCUCCUUCUCCUUCUCCUUCUUCUCCUCCUCCUCCUUCUUCUUUUCUUUGUUUUAGCUUUGGAGCUGGGGAUUGAACCCAGCAAGCUCACACAUGCUAAGUGCGUGUUCUACCCCGAGCUCCACCCGAGCCUGCUUGUCCUCAGUCCUCCUGUCCCUCCUGUGCCUGCUGCACCUGAUCCACCCCUCCUAUCUAGAAUCAGUGCAGGUUACUCUGUAGGAAGUGCUUUCCUUCUCCCAAGUUUAUUAAAAAUGCUCUGAGUUCUGGCCUGGUGACAUUUUCCAACUGCCACCUGGCCCUGCUGCUGGUAAUUGUGGAAACUCGUCCCAGGACCUGGUGCCUUUUCUGCCUAACAUCUCUAAUGGCUCAAGAAACUCUUUCAUUUCAGAGAUCCUUUGGUCUCUAGAGUUUCAACCUCACAUAUAAUUUUGAUAUGAUGUACAUUUCCUUAGCCAGGUGUGCACUGCUAUGCCUGAGUCCAAGCUUCAUCUUCUCCUUCUUCCUCUCCUCCUCCUUCUUCUUUUCCUCCUUUUUUCUUUUUUUUCUUUUGACAGAAUCCCACUCUGUAGUGCAGGCUGGCCCUGAACUCACUAUGUAGCCCAGGCUGGCCUCGAACUGCCAGCGAUCCUCCUGCUUCAGCCUCCUGAGUGCUGGGAUUACAGGCGAGCGCCACUAUGCUUGGGCUUCUUCCUCCUCCACCUACUCUUCCUCCUUCUCCGCCGCCUUUCUUCUCCUCUUCCUCCUCACCUCCCUCCUUUUCUUCCUCUUCCUUCUCUCUCUCUCUCUUUUUGGUACUAGGGAUGGAACCCAAGGCUGCUCUACCACUGAGCUAUGUCCCC